CCUUCUUCCCUACCCCCGCCGCCGCCCGCCGUUGGAGAUAAAAAGAAGCAAAGUGCCGCCGUCGAUGGGUGAUUCGCCGGCCGGAGAGGAGAGAAUAAGGGGAGAGCCAAGACAAAGCCAUUACUAAUUGGAAAGGGAUGCGUCCUGAGCUGCCGCGAGUCCUGGGCGAAGAUCCCAGGUUGUUAUGAGUCUUUGCAGGAAGGUGAUCACAUUUUUUCUUGAGUUCUUCUCUGCCAAGUAGAAUAGCAAGGGCACAAGCCUUGUUCUGUUUUUCAAUCGAGCUAAAUUUUGCUGGCCUUUGUUACCUGAGAUGAUUCCCCUUGGGGCGGCUCCGGGCGGCUGUGCUUCAGUUUUUAUGAUUUCAGUCUUGUUUCAUUUAGUUGAUCAGUGUCCCAACAUCAGUCUUGUGGUUGAGUCACUUAUUUUAGACUGUAGUUGAUUCACUCAUUUAAGCUUGGGCAAAAAGAGCUUCACUAGGACCGAGUACAACACCGCAACCGAUGGUCGGAUCUUCUUCAAGCAUGGAUGGAAGAAGUUUCUUACGAGGACUGGACUUGAGGUUGGAGCGGAUGUGUUAAUAAAAUGCAAGACAAAGGUCAGCAAUAAGCUCGAGAUGAUUGUUCUUAGUCUAUUGUUCAAUCAAUGUUUAUUAUUAUCAGUCAUUUUCUUAUAAUAGUUGACUCACCACCAGUCAAUGUUCAGAGAGCACACAUAAUUGUUCUAUUUACCAUUCAUGAGUUUUACUCAUCGUUCAGCCUUUCA